UGGGGAAUAUUGGACAAUGGGCGAAAGCCUGAUCCAGCAAUGCCGCGUGUGUGAAGAAGGUCUUAGGAUUGUAAAGCACUUUCGACGGGGACGAUGAUGACGGUACCCGUAGAAGAAGCCCCGGCUAACUUCGUGCCAGCAGCCGCGGUAAUACGAAGGGGGCUAGCGUUGCUCGGAAUGACUGGGCGUAAAGGGCGCGUAGGCGGAUUGGUUAGUUAGGUGUGAAAUUCCUGGGCUUAACCUGGGGACUGCACUUAAUACAGCCAGUCUAGAGUGAGAUAGAGGGUUGUGGAAUUCCCAGUGUAGAGGUGAAAUUCGUAGAUAUUGGGAAGAACACCGGUGGCGAAGGCGGCAACCUGGAUCUUUACUGACGCUGAGGCGCGAAAGCGUGGGGAGCAAACAGG
rnacentral:rRNA from 1 species